rnacentral:precursor_RNA from 1 species
GUACUUGAUGAUGAACGGGUAAUCUGCAUCCUGAGGUUUAAAACCAAUUAAGCAUAUACAUAUGCGAAUGUAUAGUUUUUAAUCCUCGGGAUACAGUUUACCUCUUCCUUACUCAA